rnacentral:rRNA from 1 species
AACGAACGCUGGCGGCAUGCCUAACACAUGCAAGUCGAACGAGACCUUCGGGCCUAGUGGCGCACGGGUGCGUAACGCGUGGGAACCUGCCCUUAGGUUCGGAAUAACUCCCCGAAAGGGGUGCUAAUACCGGAUAAUGUCUUCGGACCAAAGAUUUAUCGCCUUUGGAUGGGCCCGCGUUGGAUUAGCUAGUUGGUAGGGUAAAAGCCUACCAAGGCGACGAUCCAUAGCUGGUCUGAGAGGAUGAUCAGCCACACUGGGACUGAGACACGGCCCAGACUCCUACGGGAGGCAGCAGGGGGGAAUAUUGGACAAUGGGCGAAAGCCUGAUCCAGCAAUGCCGGGUGAGUGAUGAAGGCCUUAGGGUUGUAAAGCUCUUUUACCCGGGAUGAUAAGGACAGUACCGGGAGAAUAAGCUCCGGCUAACUCCGU